rnacentral:rRNA from 1 species
CAUAUCGCCCGUCACUCUUAUUAUAAGAUAAGAUAAGUCGUAACAAAGUAGAUGUACUGGAAAGUGUAUCUAGAAUGA